CAUGCCGAACUCAGAAGUGAAGGUCCCACCUGACCCCAUGCCGAACUCAGAAGUGAAACGCCGUAGCGCCGAUGGUAGUGUGGGGUCUCCCCAUGCGAGAGUAGGGAACUGCCAGGC
rnacentral:rRNA from 1 species